AGAGACUCUCCUAAUGGCGGCCAGGCUGCUUGAGUGGCACUUUCAAUGCAGGUCAGGAAUCUCGUCCAUCUGGAAAAAGCUUCCGUAAUUGCCAGAAGGUCCCUGGGGUUUCUGGGGACCCAGGACACAGAAGUUCAAAGUCAAUUUGACAGUCUUCUCCUAGAUAUUCAUAUGGAGUUUCUGUCAUCGAGCCAAAAUGGAGAACUGUGUGUUGUAAUCGUGCAGGGCCUGGAAACUGCUGCAGCCACUUUAGAAGGGGCUGCUGAACUGCAAACGGCCUCAGUCUAUUCCACGGGACACCUCUUCGUUCUGUCUCUGAGGAACCCCAAUUAACCAGCCCUGGCUGUCCUGGACUUUGUAGAGGAGAGGCUGGCCUUGAACCGAGGUUUGCCUGCCUCUGCCUCCUGAGUGCUUAGAUUAAAGGUUUCUCUCUGAGGUGGUUGUGGUCCUGGAACUCACCUGGCCUCAAACUAGCAACAAUCCUCCUGCCUCGGCAUUCCAAAUGCUGGAACCACAGAAUUGAGUGUUUUCCAGAUCUUACCUUGUUGUCCAAAAAAGUUGUUCUGGGACUAAGAUGGACCCCGUCUUGGUCAUGUGACCUGCCCUAUGACUGCCAGCUUACCAUGACCUUUGCUCCUUGUAUCAUGAUGGCACCACUGGGAAAAUUUGUUGUCUGGUUGUUUUGUUGCUUGCUGAGUCUGGCCUGGGAAAGGACAGAAAAUGUCUGCUACUAACUCUGAUGCCUGUGAGGGGCUGGAUUUUGCUGCAAGGUGAUGCUGGUCCCCAGGGAUCACAACAUUUGCCAUACCAGCUCCAUCAUGUCUUUAUGGAUGUGAUACCAUAUUAUCAUAUGUAAUAAACCAUAUUAUGCUAUUGUUG